rnacentral:rRNA from 1 species
CCUACGGGUGGCAGCAGUGGGGGAUAUUGGACAAUGGGGGAAACCCUGAUCCAGCGACGCCGCGUGAGUGAAGAAGUAUUUCGGGUUGUAAAGCUCUUUCAGCAGGGACGAAAGAAAUGACGGUACCUGACCAAUAAGCCACGGCUAACUACGUGCCAGCAGCCGCGGUAAUACGUAGGGGGCAAGCGUUAUCCGGAAUUACUGGGUGUAAAGGGCGGGUAGACGGUGAUGCAAGUCUGGGGUGAAAGGCGGGGGCCCGACCCCCGGCCUGCUCUGGAAACUGUGUAACUUGAGUGCAGGAGAGGUAAGCGGAAUUCCUAGUGUAGCGGUGAAAUGCGUAGAUAUUAGGAGGAACACCAGUGGCGAAGGCGGUCUACUGGACUGUAACUGACGUUGAGGCUCGAAAGCGUGGGGAGCAAACAGGAUUAGAUACCCGAGUAGUC